ACAAAUUGUUAAAAGAUCACGUGAUAUUCAAUCAGUUAUCUAGCUUUGCAUACGUCAGAGAUAACAGAACUAUCAAUGUCAUAUCUCAUUAUUGAAAUGACUUACCUUUCGGUUAUUUCGGAAUGAAAAGUAGAAAAAGGGCAAUUGCAUUUGACUUAUAUGAUCAGCCUGGAACACCUACUCGCCUUUUCGGCUGACUAAGCAAUAACGGUAGGAAGUCUUUGUCAAUCUUGAAACACAAUGUCUGGUAAAGAUACAAAUAAUGACGGGGCUUUAGGCUUUUCACGGUUUGUAAGUAUAUAAAACGCUAGAGUUUAAAAGAACACGCACAACUUUUAUUUCAUUCGGGUGUGUGUUUGUGUGCGUGUGUGUGCGUGUGCGUGUA